GAGCGGCGGACGGGUGAGUAAUGCUUGGGAAACUGCCUGGAAGUGGGGGACAACAGUUGGAAACGACUGCUAAUACCGCAUAAUGUCUUCGGACCAAAGGAGGGGCUCUUCGGACCUUUCGCUUUCAGAUGUGCCCAAGUGGGAUUAGCUAGAUGGUGGGGUAAUGGCCUACCAUGGCGACGAUCCCUAGCUGGUUUGAGAGGAUGAUCAGCCACACUGGGACUGAGACACGGCCCAGACUCCUACGGGAGGCAGCAGUGGGGAAUAUUGCACAAUGGGCGCAAGCCUGAUGCAGCCAUGCCGCGUGUGUGAAGAAGGCCUUCGGGUUGUAAAGCACUUUCAGUUGUGAGGAAGGUUGUGUGGUUAAUACCCAUAUAAUUUGACGUUAGCAACAGAAGAAGCACCGGCUAACUCCGUGCCAGCAGCCGCGGUAAUACGGAGGGUGCGAGCGUUAAUCGGAAUUACUGGGCGUAAAGCGUACGCAGGCGGCUUUUUAAGCCAGAUGUGAAAUCCCCGGGCUUAACCUGGGAAUGGCAUUUGGAACUGGGAAGCUAGAGUUUUGUAGAGGGUGGUAGAAUUUCAGGUGUAGCGGUGAAAUGCGUAGAGAU
rnacentral:rRNA from 1 species